CUUAUGAUAAGGGCUGGGGAAAAAGACAGUCUUUGGACUUGUGGGAAGCCUUUACCAGCUUCCAUGAGCAGGUCUGAUGGAAGAAGGCAAAAUGGCACUGUUGUAUUUCCUCUGUGCAAGAUGAAAAGCCUGGGGAAUCCCAUUCAGCAGCAGCUGUGUGAACCUAAAGUGCAUCCAUCUGAAGCUCUUGCCAAACUUCUGCCAUCCUACACUGAAAGCUUCACACUGGAUAGAGGAGAUGAUAUUUAGGAAGGAGAUAUCUAUAUGUGUUAAUAAGAGGAAACUGCGGAGCACUAAUGGAACUGUCAAGAGGAAAAACACCAGCAGACCACAUGAAACCUAGCAGAAGGUCCCCUGGCAGAGCUGCAGGAGCAAAGGCUCAGAACAGGCACCAGGGAAGGGAAGGCAGAGAUUCGUAUGCAACCGCGAGCCCUUUGCCCAGGUGUGGAGAGAGGGUAGGAAGGAAGAGAAUGGGGGAAGGAGACUGUAUGACCAAUUGCAUCCUUAUGAAGUUCCAGUACAUGUAUUUAUUUUUACAUGUACAUAGGUUCCUUGUAAUUGGUAUUCAGCAAGGUCUGCAACUGAGAUGUGUGUCAGGUGGAGCUGCCAGGAAGUCUUUGCUGAAAGGGUUGGAGGUGCUUUUAUGACUCUCAGAUAGAAAUCCAAGCUCGAGAUACAAAACUAUUAUUCAUCAUAAAAUAUUGCUAACACUGAAGAACAUUCUCAAGCAUUUCACUGGAUUUUAUGCUGGAGUGAAGGAAAUGAACUGUUCAGGGGUUGUGUAAUUGUUAUUAAAAGGUUCUUCAACAUACAUAAAAAUUAUACCUGAGCUGAAACUGUUCAUUAAAGAUGAGUGAAAACUACUGAAGUGGGCUGUUCUUUUUCCCCUGGAUAUCACUACAGGCCUUCUUAAUAUAUUACACAGAUACUAAUUUGUUUGCCUUGGAGGUCUGUGAUAAUUCGUCAGUGAAGUGAGUUUCCAGAGAAAAUGGAAAAUAGGAAUAAAUGAGAAGAGAAGAAUAAUGAGAUUUGCUGG
rnacentral:lncRNA from 1 species